UAAUAGUUCAGCCGGUAAAGCAUGAGACUCUUAAUCUCAGGGUUAUGGGUUUGAGCCCCACGCUGGGCAAAA